UACGAAGGGGGCGAGCGUUGUUCGGAUUUACUGGGCGUAAAGGGCGCGUAGGCGGCCCUCCUUGUCGCGUGUGAAAGCCCCGGGCUCAACCUGGGAACGGCGCGCGAGACGGGGGGGCUGGAGUUCGGGAGAGGAGCGUGGAAUUCCCAGUGUAGAGGUGAAAUUCGUAGAUAUCGAGAGGAACACCGGUGGCGAAGGCGGCCUUCUGGACAGUGACUGACGCUGAGACGCGAAAGCGUGGGGAGCAAACAGG
rnacentral:rRNA from 1 species